rnacentral:rRNA from 1 species
UACGGAGGGUGCAAACGUUGCUCGGAAUCAUUGGGCGUAAAGCGCACGUAGGCGGUCUCGCAAGUCGGGUGUGAAAGCCCUCGGCUUAACCGAGGAAGUGCAUUCGAAACUACGAGACUUGAAUACUGGAGAGGAUCGCGGAAUUCCCGGUGUAGAGGUGAAAUUCGUAGAUAUCGGGAGGAACACCAGUGGCGAAGGCGGCGAUCUGGACAGAUAUUGACGCUGAGGUGCGAAAGCGUGGGGAGCAAACAGG